ACUCCUACGGGAGGCAGCAGUGGGGAAUAUUGCACAAUGGGGGAAACCCUGAUGCAGCCAUGCCGCGUGUGUGAAGAAGGCCUUCGGGUUGUAAAGCACUUUCAGUAGGGAGGAAGGUAGUGUAGUUAACACCUGCACUAUUUGACGUUACCUACAGAAGAAGCACCGGCUAACUCCGUGCCAGCAGCCGCGGUAAUACGGAGGGUGCGAGCGUUAAUCGGAAUUACUGGGCGUAAAGCGCAUGCAGGCGGCCUGUUAAGUCAGAUGUGAAAGCCCGGGGCUUAACCUCGGAAUUGCAUUUGAAACUGGCAGGCUAGAGUCUUGUAGAGGGGGGUAGAAUUUCAGGUGUAGCGGUGAAAUGCGUAGAGAUCUGAAGGAAUACCAGUGGCGAAGGCGGCCCCCUGGACAAAGACUGACGCUCAGAUGCGAAAGCGUGGGGAGCAAACAGGAUUAGAUACCCUGGUAGAUAGCG
rnacentral:rRNA from 1 species